UUGGCUUACACUCGCCACAAGCUACAUCAGAGUCACAUCAGUACAUUACAUAAUCAUCAAGAGUAAGAGCAGGGUCCGACUACGGACGAAAACAAACGACAAAAGAAGAACGACGUCCAUCCUUGCUAUCCCAAGCUGCCGGCCUGGAACCCAUCCUAGAUCGAUGAAGAAGAAGAAGAAGAAGAAGCAGCUCCAAAUGAACAAUCAACGCG
rnacentral:lncRNA from 1 species